rnacentral:tRNA from 1 species
AUUUUCUUAGUAUAAAUGAGUACUGAUGACUUCCAAUCAUUAAGCCUUGGUUAAACCCCAGGAGAAAAUA